AUUCUCUCUCUCUCUCUCUCUCUCUCUCUCUCUCUCUCUGUGUGUGUGUGUGUGUGUGUGAGAGAGAGAGAGAGAGAGAGAGAGAGAUU